ensembl:lncRNA
CCAAUUAACUGAUUUCUUUCAAUUUAAUUCCCUUAAUUUCUUGAUUUGAAAAGAUAACAUGAAGUGUUUCUACUGCACAUUCAUGUGCACAUUUUAAAACUAUUAGAGUUUCCUCCUAAGUUAAAAGGUUUUCUCAGUGUUUUCAGCUUUUUUCCAGUUGUUUGAACACAACUCAUUAAAAAGAGGGCAGCAUUCCAUAUUUCAGUGACUCCUUGGGGAUAUAUACAGAUAGCAUUUCUUUGGUAUUGUUAUAAGCCAAAGGCCUGUUGAAGGACCUGUAAUGAAGAAUAUUCAUGCUCACAGAGGCUGUUGAUGUCACUGACUGGCACGCAAAGUGGUGUAAAGAAACUGUAUAAAAGGCGGCUCCCUGCUGAAAGAGGCACCAGUCAAGAGAAGUGGUACCAUGUCUUUCUCACUUGUAACCCUCCUCACCUUCCUGGUUGCCUGUUGGUGUUCAGGAUGUCAAGGACAAAUGAUGAGCAUGGCUCCUAUGGGUAGCAACCUGAUGCUGUCCUGCCCUCGAGGACAGGAGAUCAACAUCGUGUCAAUGGUUUACAGCAACAAGGGGUUUGAGAAUAAUGCUCAGGACUUCUGCAGCAGCAUUGCACCUCCAAGCUGUUUACAUCCCAUGUUAAUGCCGUGGUCAAAGUCUAUCUGUGAUAACCUGCAGGAGUGCAGGUUGGCCAAAGUAGACAAAAGAAUGUUGAUCUGCGAUCUCGACACCUUCACCGCCGUUUCAGCCUUCUACACUUGUGAGAACAAGUUUCCAGAUAAACGUACUGUCAUUGCCUGCAAGGAUCAGACUGCCAACUUAAAGUGUGGUAAGAAUGUUUUUUUACACACAGAAGAUCUUUCUAAAGCCUUUUUGUCAUAUCCUGCCUGCUUCACCCUCAGAAAAGGGUGUUAUUCGCAUCAUCAAGUCCAAUUACGGACGUCUCGACCAGAACACCUGCACAGACACGCCCUCUGAUUACACCUUUUGUACAGCUGGAGGAUUUGGAGAAGAUGUGAAAAGCAGGUGCAACGGUAGAAAAGAGUGUUCAAUUCCAGGCAAUCCUAAAGGGAGGAUAGUGUUUUCAUACUGUGAUCAAUCCCCCAAGUAUGUGUACGUGUCCUACGUCUGUGAAGCAUAGGAUAAGUACACAAUGAACACCAACAGUUGGUGUACAGGUGACCUGAAGAUGGAGGAUUUCUCCUGCAUCUGAGGAACCUUGUUCCAAAUCUAAAAAGUAAAAAACCCAAUUAAUAAAAGAGAGGAACUAUCAUCUGGGCCUGUGUCUUCUGUCAACAUUUCAUGACCAAUUGAGAAUAUAUAUACACUCCAAACAGAACAGAUCUCUCUACAAAAAUACAUUUUUAUUUAAGACAUCGAUUUACACCUACAAAGAACUAGAAAAGAAAUUCCUGCUUAUUUCCAAUCUGGUGACACUGUGACAGAGGUCAAUCCACCCAAAGGACAGAAUACCCAGAAACACAACAACGUUGUGCUGCUGACCCGUGUCGCAAAGACCUGUCCAACACAAGAGAGGCAACUCUUUGGGACAGGACUUUGCUGUUCACCUGCACCUUAAAGUCAAAAGUCAGUCGUUCUGGGGCAGCAACCUAAAAGUUUAUUCUCUUGAAGACAGAUGAAGAAGCCAUAUUUGUUAGAACAGAACAACCAUCCACAAAGAGAGAGAUGUUUCUUCUAAAAUCAAAAAAAUUCAACGUCAGAAUUUUGUGAUUAUGAGGCUCGUAUUAUCGUCGCAAGCUCCACAUAAGUCCUGGUCCUCAGAUGAGGGAGGUCAGCGACGGUUGCAGAAAUCCAGCCACACAAAACAUACAUCUGUUCAAAUGAACCCCUAUUAAUCCUCACAUGUUCAGGAAGUACAUAUAAAACAGUUUACUGAUAUCAGCUAAUGUUUGAUGUUUUAGUUUAAACCAUUAACUAAGAGCUCGAAGGCUAGCUCAUACCAGGAAGAUGAGAACUCUGGCAAACAGAAAAAGGCAGGAACAAAUUGACCAGAAGAAUGAGCAGAUUAGUACAGAAACACAACAGGAACAGGCAGGGUCAAAACCUGCAAAUCAGUCCAAAGAAUAACGCUGGAGAAUCGGGCAUAAACACAUAAACUGGCAAGGCAAGAGUGCCAAGUAAGGAGUUUAAAUUACUGAGGUCCAAACAGCUGUCCCAGAUUGGGUUGAGGAGCAAAGGAAGACACAGCUGUGCAGAAUUGUGCUGAUUAGGAUGGAGCAAACUUACACGCUGAAGGUGUUCUGGCACCUCCCCGCCACCACAACACGUUCCAUGUUUUUGUCCACACUAGGGCUCAAACCGGGAAUCCUCCGCUUCUCAGCCCAGUCCCCCAACACUGUCUUUUCAAACUAUUCAUUGGAAAUAAAACAAACAAAGUAUUUGUUCUUGAGGGUAUGCAGUAGCAAAACAAUUGAACAUG